GGGCUUUGAAAGAUUUUUUUUUCAUUUCUUUAUUCAUUUCUGAAAAAAUUAUAGUCAUCCCUAUAUAAGAUGUCUGCAUCCCCGGUGAAAUUAUUUCUGCCUCGACAGACGAUUGCUCAGCUGCUUUGAAAAACAAAAUGAAGACUUUGGCCCUCUUUUCCAUUUUUGCACUGGCCAUGAGCUACACAUUGGCCGAGGAAGGUGAAAAGAAGGAAGUGAACGUUCCAGUUAUCCCGUAUCCUGGUUACUAUUACCCUUAUGCUCACUACUACUACCCACCAAGUUACUACAAGCCAGUUAGUUCCUACUCCUACUCGUACGGCAGUUACUACUACCCUCAAUCCCCUUACAAGUACGUUGCUGCACCUGGAGCAGCUCCUGUGCACUAUAUACCCUAAAUUAAAAUCUACCAAAAGGGACGAUAGCCGUUGACGACAGGAUAAUGAUAAACGGACAACGUUUUUUGCAAUACUACGUGGGACAAUGCCGUGUCAGAACACCCAGUCAGUAAUACCUGAAUACAGAUAAAAUCUGGCAGUGAAAGAAAGCGGGUACAACGACCUCUUCGCAUCAACUUUCAUAACCUGUCCAUUACAAUCAUUUUCGCUAGCAUUCUGAUAUUUUUUCCCUUUAAAUACUCGUGUCUAACAUUACUAAUAAAGAUUGUUUUUUGUUACUGCAA